CCCUUAGAUGUUCUGGGCCGCACGCGCGCUACACUGAUGCAUUCAACGAGUCUAAAACCUGGUCUGAUAGGGCUGGGUAAUCUUUUGAAUGUGCAUCGUGAUUGGGAUAGAUGAUUGCAAUUCUUCAUCUUCAACGAGGAAUGCCUAGUAGGCGCAAGUCAUCAGCUUGCGUCGAUUACGUCCCUGCCCUUUGUACACACCGCCCGUCGCUCCUACCGAUUGAAUGCUCAGGUGAGCCAUUCGGACUUUCAUCAUGCUGGUUUCCAGUUUUGAUGAAGGAAAGUCUUGCGAACCUUAUCAUUUAGAGGAAGGAGAAGUCGUAACA
rnacentral:rRNA from 1 species